CCGUCCUCAGGACCUCCACCGAGACAACUCCUGGCCAGCAAAGAAAAUGUUAAAGAGAAAUCUUCCUGUUUCAAGAAAAAAGUGUACAAGGUGGUGCGAGGGAGCAUCUGCAGAGAGCGAAGGAGUCUCGUGACUGCGUCUGCACUGCUGACCUGAAAACAAAGAGCCAAAAGAACUUCUCAGUCAAGCCCAAGGCCAGGAUAUAAGGAGAGGAGAAAAGGAGCUGACUGCCUGAUAGAAAAAUAUAAGUAUCACAAAUUGUUUCUGGGAUGGAGGAUAUUCUAAUAUUAUUCUAUCCAGUUCUAGCUUUGAAAACCCUGUUCCUAGCGAUUCGGAAUCUUCUAAACUUUCUCUCUCUGAAGUCAGAGAAAUAUAAAUAUGUUAACAGUUUUCCCCCACAGAGUAUUUACCCAAUCCAUUUUCAGUGGAAAAAACUUGUUAGUGCAUUUCCAUACCUUUCAUUUUAGUCAGAGAUAGAAGGGAGGUGUAGCCAGCCUGAAGAUAAUUGCCAGUAUGUAACAGAUCAUAGAAUGAGGUUUAUAAAAAAGAACUAAAUAGGAAAUUUAGAUUAGAUCAAAAGGACUUGUUAGUGUAAAUUUCCACAGGAAAUUUACUUCAUAUCACCUUAAACAUCAAAUAUGUUGUAUUAUAAAAUACUGUAAUUUUCAAGAGUUUUGUCCCCUGACUAUUGGUUUGGGUAACUGUUGUGAGGAUUUGGAUAAAUGUGACUGAGAGAAAAGAAACUUCUACCCUAUGGCAAUCCUGUAGUGCUGCUAAUAUGGAGUGGAUUUGGAGAAGGAAUUCCUUCCCACUCUUGUCUAGGAAAGCGAAGGGGUGGUUUUACUCUCAAUCCCAAUGUGAUUCUUUUCAGAAACUUGGACUGUCAACAUCACCUGUGGGGUUUAGGGGAAGCAUCAUCAGGGUGGACGAGGUCGAGCGAGGAGGGCCAGGUGGAGAGAUGCUGACAGCACCCAAGGAAAUGACUGGAACAAGGAUUUCAAUUCUCCAAAUGGCUCAGAUUUUCCAUUGGAAAACACACUGGAAAAAUGAAGAUAGCAAGGAAGACUAUGGAACCAACGAUCAAGAAACUAUCUUAGGACCCAAACAAAUUUCCAAAAGUUUAUAAAAGCUCCACCUCAGGUCUUUAUGACCAAGCCAUUCCUGAAAUCCAACCACAAGCUUUCAGGAAGUAUGGGCAGAAGAGAAAAGUUUCCUGUGAUAUUUCCUUAUAAAUAAUAUGGUAUUUCAAGUGUGAAAAUUUCUGAUGAAGGAAAAGAGGUUUUUGCUUUAUGCAAUAUCAAUCAAUUACCCCUGGGUUUUUAAGGCCUGGCCUAUUAAGAAAAUAGAGAAUGUUUGAGGAUGAAAAGGAGAGAUGUACUUCAUGCAAUUUUUACUCAAUUUUCUUUUGGGUCUCAAAGGCCUCACCCCAUGAGAGAGCAGAGAGAAUAUUUGAGGGGUUGAGGGAGAGAUUUGCUUAAGAUAUUUCAAUUUCACUUGUCUCCUAUGUCUUCAUGACCUAAUUCAUGCAAGUAGAGAGAACAUCUGAGGUUAGAAAAGGAGAGAUUUGCUUUAAGCAGUGUCUUCCCUUUAAUUCUCUUCUGGGCCUUAAUGGCCUGAGCAAACAGAAAGAAUGACAAUAUUUGAGUUGGAAAAGGAGAGAUUUUCUUCACGCAGUAUCUAUUUAAUUCUCUCUUGGUUCCUUAAGGCCUAACUCUUUGAGGUAGCCGAACAACAUUAAAGAUGGAAAAGGAAAGAUUUAUUUCAUGUAAUAUAUCUCAAUUAUCUUCCGGGUCUUAAGGUAGAGAGACUGGAAUAUUUAGGGGGAGGACAAGGAGAGAUUUUCUUUGUGCAGCAUCUCUCACAAUUCUCUUCUGGGCCUUUAAGGCCUGAGCAAGCAGAGAGAAUAUUUAAUCCUCCAGGAAAAGGAGAGAAUUGCUCCUUGCAGUAUCUUCUUCAUUCUCUCUCUGAUAUUUUAAGUCUAAUUCCUUGAGAAAGGAGAGAAUAUUAGAGGUGGAAAAGGAGGUAUUUGCUUCAUGCAAUAUCUAUUUCUUAACUCUCUCUUGGGCCUUUAAAGGCCUCAUUCCUUGAGAGCGUGUUUGAGGUGGAAAAGGAGGGAUUUGUUUCAUGCAGUAUCUCUCAAUUCUUUUUGGGUCUUUGAUACCUGAGCAACAGACAGAAUACUUGAGGAGAAAAAGGAGAGAGUUGCUUCAUGCGAUAUCUUCUUAAUUCUCUCAUUGGUCCUUAAGACCUAACUACUUGAAAGAGCUGGAGGAAUGCUUUCUCUCUAACUUAAUUCUCUCCUGGGUCUUUAUGGACUGAGCAAAGAGAAAGAAUGAGAGCAUCUGAAGAGGAAAAGAAGAGAGUUGCUUUAUGCAUUAUCUCACAAUUCUCUUCUGGGCCUUUAAGGCCUGGGCAAGCAGAGUAAAUAUUUGAGGAGGUAAAUGAGAGACUUGCUUCAUGUUGUAUUUAAUUGGAUCUUUAAGGCCUAACUCCUUGAGGAAGUGGAAAUGGAGGGUUUGCUUCCUGUAAUAUCUGCUUCUUAAUUCUCUUAGGUCUUCAUGGCCUAAUUCGACAAGCCCAAUAGUAUGAGUUUUUAAGUCCUAACUCCUUGAGAGAACAGAGGGAAUAUAUAAGGAGAAAAAGAAGAGAUUUGCUUCAUGCAGUGUCUCUCAUAAUUCUCUUCUGGGUCUUAAAGGCCUGAACAAGCAGAGAAAAUGUUUGAGGAGGAAGAGAAGAGACUUGCUUCAUGCAAAGUCUUUACUUCUUGGAUCUUUAAACUCCUCAAGAAAGGAGAGAGUAUAAAUAUAAGAGGUGGAAAUGGAGGGAUUUGCUGCAUGCAAAUCUGCUUCUUAAUUCUCUUAGGUCUUCAUGGCCUAAUUCCUCAAACCCAACAGUAUGGGUUUUUAAGUCCUAACUCCUUGAGAGAACAAAGAGAAUAUUUGAGGAGAAAAAGAAGAGAUUUGCUUCAUGCAGUAUCUCAUAAUUCUCUUCUGGGUCUCAAGGGCCUGAGCAAACAGAGAAAAUAUUUGAGGAGGAAGAGAAGAGACUUGCUUCAUGCAAUGUCUAUUCUUGGAUCUUUAAGGUCCAACUCCUCAAGAAAGGAGAGAUAAUAUAAGAGGUGGAAAGGGAGGGAUUUGCUUCAUGCAAUAUCUGCUUCUUAAUUCUCAUUCAUCCAAUUGUAUUCAUU